rnacentral:lncRNA from 1 species
GAAACACCAGGAGAAAAGAAGGAAAAGACAGGAAACGGGAAGAGGAGCAGAGGCGAGGAAGGGGAAGGUCAUUUCCUUGGCAGGGCUCCUGUGGGAAGGACUCCAUCGCAUUGAUCACUGGGUUUUCCCGUGCCAUCCAUAGAACUUUGUGCUUAAUAAUGACUCAAUAAAUAUGAUUAGAUGGAUGGAUGUAAAAUAUGGACUUGGGAGAAA